ensembl:lncRNA
GGGCAGAGCUGCUGGGCCACGCAGCCAGGGCGCCGCAAGGCUAGCUGUCCUGCUCCACGCUGGCCUUGCUGUGCCCUGGCAAUGGGCUGCCAUUUCCCACCCUACAUCCAUGCAACUGGUCCCAAUUGCCUUGCAGUGUAAGAAGAGGUCUGCGGAGCUGGCAGCUGUUCUCCGAGAGCAGACCAAAGUCCGUGAGGUACGCAGGGUGGGAGGGAGAGAAUGGAGAGCAGCACAUUGAUCGGGGAAAGGCCCCUGCCAGCAGACACAGGACGGGCUCUUGACCGGACCCUUUCCUUCUCCAGGCACUGAAGGAGGAGCUGGAGAUGGAGAUGAAAAAACUCCAGAAGGCACAACAGAGGGUCGAAAAGCGCAC